GUGACAGCAGCCGCGGUAAUACGUAGGGGGCGAGCGUUGUCCGGAUUUAUUGGGCGUAAAGAGCUCGUAGGCGGUUCGGUAAGUCGGAUGUGAAAUCUCCAGGCUCAACUUGGAGGGGUCAUUCGAUACUGCCAUGACUAGAGUUCGGUAGGGGAAUGUGGAAUACCUGGUGGAGCGGUGAAAUGCGCAGAUAUCAGGUGGAACACCCGUAGCGAAGGCGGCAUUCUGGGCCGAUACUGACGCUGAGGAGCGAAAGCGUGGGGAGCGAACAGGAUUAGAAACCCGCGUAGUCC
rnacentral:rRNA from 1 species